rnacentral:piRNA from 1 species
UGGAAGCCGCCGUGAGUUCCC